rnacentral:rRNA from 1 species
UACGUAGGGUGCGAGCGUUAAUCGGAAUUACUGGGCGUAAAGCGUGCGCAGGCGGUUUUGUAAGCCAGAUGUGAAAGCCCCGGGCUCAACCUGGGAAUGGCAUUUGGGACUGCAAGGCUUGAGUGCGGCAGAGGAGACUGGAAUUCCUGGUGUAGCAGUGAAAUGCGUAGAUAUCAGGAGGAAUACCGAUGGCGAAGGCAGGUCUCUGGGCUGACACUGACGCUCAUGCACGAAAGCGUGGGGAGCAAACAGGAU